rnacentral:rRNA from 1 species
GAUCAAGCGAAUAAGUGCAUGUGGUGGAUGCCUUGGCGAUCACAGGCGAUGAAGGACGUUGUAGCGUGCGAAAAGCCACGGGGAGCUCGCAAACAAGCUUUGAUCCGUGGAUGUCCGAAUGGGGAAACCCGGCCCGCAAGGGUCACUCCCACCUGAAUACAUAGGGUGGGUAGAGCGAACCCGGUGAACUGAAACAUCUAAGUAGCCGGAGGAACAGAAAUCAACCGAGAUUCCGAAAGUAGUGGCGAGCGAAAUCGGAAGAGCCUGCACAAUUUAACCAUUACGCUAGCAGAGCGGUCUGGAAAGGCCGGCCAUAGUGGGUGAUAGCCCCGUAUGCGAAAGCCUGGUGGUGGAACUGAGUGUGCGACAAGUAGGGCGGGACACGUGAAAUCCUGUCUGAAGAUGGGGGGACCAUCCUCCAAGGCUAAAUACUCGUGAUCGACCGAUAGUGAACCAGUACCGUGAGGGAAAGGCGAAAAGAACCCCGGGAGGGGAGUGAAAUAGAUCCUGAAACCGCAUGCAUACAAACAGUGGGAGCCUCGCUUCAAGCCCUUCGAAUGAGGAGGGGGCGGCGCCGCGGGCGACCAAAAAAAAAAACCCCCCCCCCCCCCCCCCCCCCGGGGUGACUGCGUACCUUUUGUAUAAUGGGUCAGCGACUUACAUUCAGUGGCGAGCUUAACCGAAUAGGGGGAGGCGUAGCGAAAGCGAGUCCGAACAGGGCGAUUCAGUCGCUGGGUGGAACCCGAAACCAGAUGAUCUACCCAUGGCCAGGAUGAAGGUUGGGUAACACCAGCUGGAGGUCCGAACCCACUACCGUUGAAAAGGUAGGGGGAUGAGCUGUGGGUAGGGGUGAAAGGCCAAACAAAUCUGGAGAUAGCUGGUUCUCUCCGAAAGCUAUUUAGGUAGCGCCUCGUGUAUCACUUCUGGGGGUAGAGCACUGUAAUGGUUGUGGGGGUCAUUGCGACUUACCGCGCCAUAGCAAACUCCGAAUACCGGAAAGUGUGAGCACGGGAGACAGACUUGGGGUGCUAACGUCCUGAGUCGAGAGGGAAACAACCCAGACCGCCGAUUAAGGUCCCGAAGACACAGUUAAGUGGGAAACGAGGUGGGAAGGCUUAGACAGCCAGGAGGUUGGCUUAGAAGCAGCCAUCCUUUAAAGAAAGCGUAAUAGCUCACUGGUCGAGUCGUCCUGCGCGGAAAAUGUAACGGGGCUCAAACUGUGCACCGAAAUCGCGGAUCAGCAUGCUCCUUUUACUUCAUUGAGAUGGCUCGCUUGGGCGAGGCUAAUUGCCGGGCCUGAAGGCGGCAAAGCCCAAGAGAGUUAAAAGGGGUGCUGAUGGUAGGAGAGCGUUCCGUAGGCCGUUGAAGGUGGGGUGUGAACCUCGCUGGAGGUAUCGGAAGUGCGAAUGCUGACAUGAGUAGCGAUAAAGCAGGUGAAAGGCCUGCUCGCCGAAAGCCCAAGGUUUCCUGCGCCACGUUCAUCGGCGCAGGGUGAGUCGGCCCCUAAGGCGAGGCCGAAAGGCGUAGUCGAUGGGAAACAGGUUAAUAGUCCUGUACCUUUAUGCAAUGCGAUGGGGGGACGGAGAAGGUUAGGUGGGCCGGGUGUUGGAUGUCCCGGUUCAAGCGUGUAGGCGUGCCCGGUAGGCAAAUCCGCUGGGCUUAGCCGAGGCGUGAUGACGCAAGGCUCUUCGGAGUCCCAAGCCACUGAGACCCCGCUUCCAGGAAAAGCCUCUAAGCUUCAGUUGCAUGAAGACCGUACCGCAAACCGACACAGGUGGGCAGGAUGAAGAUUCUAAGGCGCUUGAGAGAACUCAGGAGAAGGAACUCGGCAAAUUAGCACCGUAACUUCGGGAGAAGGUGCGCCCCGGUAGUGUGUAGCGGCUUGCCCGUGAAGCACGAUGGGGUUGCAGUGAAUUGGUGGCUGCGACUGUUUAAUAAAAACACAGCACUCUGCAAACACGAAAGUGGACGUAUAGGGUGUGACGCCUGCCCGGUGCCGGAAGGUUAAGUGAUGGGGUGCAAGCUCUUGAUCGAAGCCCCGGUAAACGGCGGCCGUAACUAUAACGGUCCUAAGGUAGCGAAAUUCCUUGUCGGGUAAGUUCCGACCUGCACGAAUGGCGUAACGAUGGCCACACUGUCUCCUCCUGAGACUCAGCGAAGUUGAAGUGUUUGUGAAGAUGCAAUCUACCCGCUGCUAGACGGAAAGACCCCAUGCACCUUUACUGUAGCUUUGCAUUGGACUUUGAUGAGACUUGUGUAGGAUAGGUGGGAGGCUUUGAAGGCGGGAUGCUAGUCCCGCUGGAGCCGUCCUUGAAAUACCACCCUGGUGUCAUUGAGGUUCUAACCUGGAUCCAUUAUCUGGAUCGGGGACCGUGCAUGGCAGGCAGUUUGACUGGGGCGGUCUCCUCCCAAAGGGUAACGGAGGAGUUCGAAGGUUCGCUAGGUACGGUCGGACAUCGUACUGAUAGUGCAUUGGCAAAAGCGAGCUUGACUGCGAGACGGACAUGUCGAGCAGGUGCGAAAGCAGGACAAAGUGAUCCGGUGGUUCUGUAUGGAAGGGCCAUCGCUCAACGGAUAAAAGGUACGCUAGGGAUAACAGGCUUAUGACUCCUGAGAGUUCAUAUCGACGGAGUCGUUUGGCACCUCGAUGUCGGCUCAUCACAUCCUGGGGCUGUAGCCGGUCCCAAGGGUAUGGCUGUUCGCCAUUUAAAGAGGUACGUGAGCUGGGUUUAAAACGUCGUGAGACAGUUUGGUCCCUAUCUGCAGUGGGCGUUGGAGAUUUGACGGGGGCUGCUCCUAGUACGAGAGGACCGGGUGGACGCACCUCUGGUGUACCGGUUGUGACGCCAGUCGCAUCGCCGGGUAGCUAUGUGCGGAAGAGAUAACCGCUGAAAGCAUCUAAGCGGGAAACUUGCCUGAAGAUGAGAUCUCCCGGAGGCUUGACCUCCCUGAAGGGUCGUGGAAGACCACCACGUUGAUAGGCCGGGUGUGGAAGCGCAGUAAUGCGUGCAGCUAACCGGUACUAAUUGCCCGUGCGGCUUGAUCCU